CCAGGAGACAUACAAUCAACACUCCACUCAGACAAUGCCCAGACCUCCAGAAACCAUGUGUCAAGCUCGGAUUGCCUUAGACAGGUGCAAUUUAAGAACAGCUUUCAUCCUCUUUUCUCUCAUAUUGUCACACUAUGUGUUCUGACUUCUGGCUCCUUUCCUCACAAGAAGCUCACCCAGCUGGAACUCUUAUGGGACCUUGGCACCAGAGACCACAAAUUCCUCUUUGAAGUUUUCUAACAGCAACAAUGGUAUUUCUGACUUGGCUUUCUUGUAUUUCUCUCACGUUAACAAAAUUGGUUCAGCAUCUACCAUGGGCUACAUGCUGAGCUACAGAGUUUCGCUCUGUCGCCCAGGCUGGAGUGCAGUGGCGCGCGAUCUCGGUUCACUGCAAGCUCCACCUCCCGGGUUCACGCCAUUCUCCUGCCUCAGCCUCCUGAGUAGCUGGGACUACAGGCGCCCGCCACCACACCCAGGAAUCCAACUUGCUGUUUGCUAUCACAUGUGCUAUACAUGCUGUUGAUGAAACUGCUAAAGGGGCUGAAUGUGACUGACGUCUUUGGAAGGAUGAGACUUAGCGUGCCUGUACAGUUGUGUCCAAAUGCUGUCCUCAUCUCCCAAUGAAAAGCUGAACUAGGGCCAUGCCUGGGACAGACAGAGAAUGGCCUUCCAGCAGACAUGCCAAGAAGCAAGCCAGGGUCAGUGAGUGAAGAGGAGGGCAGGCCCAUUUGAAGCAACACAGUUUAUAUACAUGAAAAGAAAGAAGGAGAGAAGGAAGAAAGGAGGGCGGAAGGAAAGGAAGAAGGGAGAGAAGAAGAGAAGAAAGAAGCAGAGAAAGGAAGAGAAAAGAAAUUACGGCCAGUGCGGUGGCUCACGCCUGUAAUCCUAGCACUUUGGGAGGCCUAAGCGGGCUGAUCACCUGAGGUCAGGAGUUCGUAAGCCAGCCUGGCCAACAUGGUGAAACCCUAUCUCUACUAAAAAUACAAAAAUCAGCAGGGCAUGGUGGUGCGUGCCUGUAAUCCCAGCUACCUGGGAGGCUGAGGUAGGAGAAUCGCUGGAACCCGAGAGGCGGAGGCUGCAGUGAGUUGAGAUCAUGUCACUGCACUCCAGGCUGGGCAACAGAGUGAGACUCUGUCUCAGAAAAAAAAAAAAAGAAAGAAAGAAAGAAAGAAAGUUACCAUUAGUUUUUUGUUGUAUUUGCAAGCAAAGACAAAAGCACCAAGGUACUUGUUUCCUUCUGUAAUUAGAGUUUCAAAUAGACUAAAAGUUUCUGCUCUUAGGUGGGUCUAGAGACUCUCCAGUACCUCAGGACCUCAGGACACAUGGGGUCUCUUGGUUGUUUUCUUUUCAUUGUUGUUGUUUAUUUUAUUUUUGUUUUUAUUUUUUAACUUUAAAACAAUUUUUUGUAGAUGAAUAUGCUUACAUAUGUUUGGGGGUUUUUUUGAGACAGGGUCUUGCUCUGUUGCCCAGGCUGGAGAGCGGUGGUUUAACCACAGCUCACUGCAGCCUCGACCUCCCAAGGUAGGGACUGCAGGUGUGUACACUGGGGUGCACCACCACACCCAGCUAAUUUUUAAAUUUUUUUUUGUAGAUAUUGUCUCACUCUGUUGGCCAGACUGGUCUUGAAAUCCUGGGCUCGAGCAAUUCUCCUGCCUCGGCCUCGUAACGCGUUAGGAUUACAAGCGUGAACACCGCACCUGGCCAGCAUGUGGUCUCUUAACCAGAGGAGGCCUCUUCUGAACUAGGUAGAGGUCCUGAGAAUUGAUUCUGAGAGUAAAAGGCUCUUUGUUCUCCUCAGAGUAGAUUAGAAUCCCUAAUGAUAGAGCAUCUAUUAUUCCUCUAGUGGUCCAUGCCCAACAGAUUCAUCCAAGAAUAGAUGAAGAUCUUUGUAAUGUUGUGCAAGUAAUCUAAUCACCCCACAGAAGAGCUGUGACUUAAAUUAUCCCAGAGUCGGCCCACCUGUUUUCAUAAAGAUCAAUGUAACUUGUAAAUUUCUUCAGUUCUCCUCACCUAUCAUCAUUUGACUAACAAAACCCAGAAAACUAGGCUAGUUAUGGUGGCCUAUGCAUAUAAUCCCAACUCUUUGAGAGGCCAGGGUGGGUGGAUUGCUUGAGUCCAGGAAUUCGAGACCAGCCUGGGCAACAAAGGGAGACCCUGCCUAUAUCCCAGCUAUGCAGGAGGCGAGGCCAGAGGAUUGCCUGAGCCUCAGAGGUUGAGGCUGUAGUGAGCCAUGAUUGCCCCACUACACUCCAGCCUGGAUGACAGAGUGAGACCCUGCCUUAAAAAUAAUAAUAAUAGUAAUAAUAUUUCAUAAAGAUACAGGAAACUAGAUUAUAAUUGACAUUUUCAAAGUGAAAUACUGUCUAGAAUGGUGCUUGGCCAACAGUAAGCUUUUUGUAAGUGGAAGUCAUUACUACUACUAUUUCUUUCAUUAUUAUUACCAUUACUACUUUUUUUUACAAAAAAAAAACCCUGGACAACACACUGAAACCAUUACUACUUCUACUACUAUAACUUAGGUUGCACCUGAUAGAGCCAGCAAUUUUUCCAAGGUAUGACAAUGGCCAUAUGUUUAAUGAUAUAAUUCUAUGGCUCAGUGUAUCUCAGCCUUUUUAAACCCUGCUCUUCUUUUGACAAUUGUAAAAAUCUUAAACUGACCUCCAGUUGAAAUCCUCUGUCAAGAAGAUAUUGUCGGCCAGGGGCGGUGGCUCACACCUGUAAUCCCAGCACUUUUGGAGGCCGAGGUGGGAGGAUCACUUGAGGUUAGGAGUUCAAGACCAGCCUGGCCAACAUAGUGAAACCCCAUCUCUACUAAAAAUACAAAAAUUAGGCAGGCAUGGUGGUGUGUGCCUGUAAUCCCAGCUACUCAGGAGGCUGAGGUAGGAGAAUUGCUUGAACCUGGCAGGGCAGAGGUUGCAGCAAGCCGAGAUCACGCCACUGCUCUCCAGCCUGGGUGAGACUGUCUCAAAAAAAAAAAAAAAAAAGAAAGAAAGUAAGAAAAAGAAGAAAUCCCAAUCUCUUCUUUUAUGUGGAUUCUUCCUCACUUGAAUAAUACUUUUCUUCCCCAGUAUUCUCCAUAUUAUCCCAGAGUCAGCCCCUCUGUUUUUGUAAAGAUCUACGUAACCUCCUCUAAGUUUCCCAGUUCUCCUCACCUAUCAUAUCAUUUGGCUCAACAAAGGGCAGGAAGCUAGAUUCUAAUUGAUAUUUUGAGGCCGGGAGCAGUGGCUCAUGCCUGUAAUCACAGCACUUUGGGAGGCUGAGGCGGGCAGAUCACUGGAGGUCAGGAGUUCGAGACCAGCCUGGCCAAUAUGGUGAAACCUCGUCUCUACUAAAAAUACAAAAAAUUAGCCAGGCUUGGUGGCUUGUACCUGUAAUCCCAGCUACUCAGGAGGCUGAGGCAGGAGAAUAGCUUAAACCUGGGAGGAAGAGGUUGCAGUGAGCCGAGAUUGCUCAAUUGCACCCCAGCCUGGGUGACAGAGCAAAACUCCAUCUCAAAAACAAACAAACGAACAAACCUGAUAUUUUCAAAAUUGAGGCAAUUAUAACAGCUAUUUAGCCAAGCAUUAUGAUAGCAAUAAUAGCAAGAAAAUAAAUUAGUUAACAAAUGAGUCUCAGAAGCCCAAUGAUUUUUAUUUUAUUUUUAUUUUUUGAACUUUUAUUUUAGAAUCAGGGGAUACAUGUGCAGGUUUGUUACCCGGGUAUAUUGCAUGAUGCUGAGUUUUGGAGUAUGCAUGAAUCCAACCUGUCAUCCAGGUAGUGAGUAUAGUACCCAACAGAUAGUUUUUUUAACAUUUACUUCACUCCCUUCCCCAAUCUUGUAUUCCCCUGUGUCUACUGUUCCCAUUUUUAUGACUGUGCCAACAAUAAUUUUUUUUCUUUUUUCUUUAAAUAGAGAUGGGGGUCUCUAUUUAAAGAGCCUCCCAAAGUGCUAGGAUUACAGGUGUGAUCCAUUGCACCUGGCCCAUGCCAACAAUAUUUGAAACCCUUAUCUGCGUGUACAAGUUUGCUACUGGUUUUGUUUUGCUCAUUAAUACAUCCCAAGCAUCUAUACCUGGCUUGUAGUACCAGCAUGUAGUAGGUGCUUAAUAAAUAUUUAUUGAAUAAAUAAAUUAGUUUGACAUUAGUUUAACAUCUCAAGUAAAACAAAAUACCAUUCAAUUAAUUCUCUUCUUCUACUUUUUUCUUUUAAGAGAGACAAAUAGUCACACAUACAUCAGCAGGAGAGGAUACAAUUUCCUGUGUUUAAGUUUUUAUGAGUUACUUUAGUUCAAAUGUCACAGAAAAUUAUAUUGAACUCUUGACCAAUCUAUCUAUUUUUUCCAUUGGAGUAUUGACCCAAAUAAGAAAUAGCAUAAAGGAAAAAUUAUUUUUUGGCAGAAAAAUAUUCUCUCUAAAUUCUUGUGUGUUUUGUUUUGAUUUUUUCCUUAGUGACUGGAGGCCAGUUUCAAUCCACUGAAGCACAGAUUCCAAAUUUUCAAUCUGGUUUUCUUGAGUAGUGACUGAGUGCCAAAAAUGAAGCAAUGACACAACAUCACCAUCAAGACACUCCCCAGCACGCACACACAUGCCAGAGUCCAACACCAAGAUACUCCCCAGCACGCACACACACGCCAGAGUCCAGGCCAUAUUCGGGUGGCUUGCAAGCUUCUUCCCCCCAAGUAUUUACUCUCAAAAUAAUGGUUUUUGUUUUGUUUUGGUUUGGUUUGGUUUGUUUUUUUCCAAAUACAUUUCUUCCCUAUAUCUUUAACCAAUUCUCAUAAAAUUUUGUCUAAUACACUGGUCAGUGUAUUCCAGACCCUAAAAGAUAACAUAAUGAAACUAUCUAUGACUAAAAGGUAAUCAGGAUCUUCUACUUAUCCUUUUUUCCUCCCUCUUAAACUUUAAUUUUGAUACAUUUGGGAGUGAAAUGAUGACAAUAAAUGCAAAGUAAUUAUUGAAGAAACAGUAAUUUUGUAUUAGCUUACUGAAAAAAAAAAAAAAGAUAACCAAAUAUAUUUUGGCAGCCCCAAACGAGUCACAUGUGAAAUGCAGUGGGAGAGCAGUGUCCUGAAGGAAAAGGUGGCCUGCUGGACAGCCAAGAGAACAAACAUCCACUGCAAGUAAUAUGAGCUCUAAGUUUGGACUAGGCCUAUGUCUGCUCUGAGACUUGGGGCAAUUCACUUAAUCAGAGCCUUAAUCAGCUACGGACUAGCAAUAUCCAUACCCGCUACUUAUUUUGUAAAUCUCCUUUCUAAAGUUAACUCUAUUUAUUGUUCCAUAAUCCCAUAAAUUCUAGAAUCUUUUCCUGUUAUAGCCAAGUUGUCUAUCAUUGACAGAGAUA
rnacentral:lncRNA from 10 species